UUCAGGGCAUGGUCUUCCUCCUUCAGCCGGAAGGAACAUGGCAGGAGACAGAGGAGUGACCUUGUUUGUCCUGCUGCUGUCCUGCUGGCGCCACGCGGAGCCCCAGCCCAUCAACACAAUUUCAGGUCCACGUACGGUACUGCCACCAAAUUUAAAAAAUUUUGAUGACAACGUGGCUGCACUAUUUGAUGAAAUUCUAGUCCAAGAGAUAUUGGAUCCAAGUAAUUCAUCAUUGCUUAUGACACAAAGACCACUACCAAAAUCAACAACGAUUAUGAAGAAAAAAAGCAAGUAUACAUUUUUUACACCUGUGAUGGCGUGUACUCCUAGAGGUCUGUGGUUGUGAAGACACAAUCCUACCAGUUUACAUUCUUUAAGGCCAGCUUACUUCUGGGGCAAAAGCAAAUGGCGGUGUGCAAGAAACAGGUGUCCGGAACCUUCUCUGUAACCUUCCCGAGAUUGAGGCGGCCAAGCCGAGGCUGGUGGAGAUGAGUUCCUCUUAUUUUGGGGUGGUCUCGGGGUACACAUGCAAGCAGGGUCUUGUGCUCAGGAUGCAAAGGCGGCUUAGCCACUGCGGGAAUGGGGGGGACACAUGGAAACGGGGACUUGCGACCACCCGCUCACUGACACGUACCUAAGCGUUCUGAGAGGGCGGGCAGUGACAUUGACCCCAUUGCACGCGGGACAGAACAAAGGUCUGAAGAACCUGCCCGAGGCCACACCGCUAGUAGUGAACGUGGGAGAGAAGGCGCUUUUCCAAAGGGCAGUUCCGUGGUGUCCGGGGUGCGUGUAGAUCAGUGAAACAGCUCGCUGAGAACCAAGACCCAGUAUUUGGCUGACAGUUGCUAAGGGGAGGCCGGGAGCAGAAAUCCACAAGCAGUGCGUGAACUGCAUUCAGCAGCCGGGAAGUUCAGCACUUUCUUGCAGUUGUGCGCCCAGAUAUGAAUUCCGGUUCCUGGGACGAACACCACCCAACAUCUGCUGGGGCCCAAACUGCUGGGUUCAAGGCGGUCAGAUGACGCCUGACUCCGGUACAUGUCAACUUUCCAAGGCACGUUCUCAGUAGACCUUGACAACUGUUAACGUUCCGUAAGAUACAGUGUGGACCCAAAUGUUCACGUGUAUGUAACCAAAAAAUCUUUUCCUUAUUUUUUCAUGGUCUUCAUCAAAGAAACCUAUACUCAAACGGAUUAUAAGAUGGAUAUUAAUAAGAAGCAUCAUAAAAAGAAAUUCUCUUCUGGGAAAGAAAAAAGGCCUUUCUUUGAUGGUAAAUGCAACCCGGUAAUGCCCCUGCCUUAGGAGAAGGUGGUGGGGAGGACAGAGGAGCCAGGCAGAUGUACACGGGGACGUCCCCGUCACGGAGGAUGAAAGCGUGGCUGGAGAGAGAUUGAGGCUGCUUCACUCCAGUGGGGCUGAUUUCCCGUCUCCGUCGAGGAACCGCCUGCCCACCACCCCUGCCCGUGGUCCUGACCCUG